ensembl:lncRNA
GGGAGAAGGUAGAGGAGGGGAGGGGAGAGGUGGAAGACAGGAGAGGGGGAGAGAUAAGGUAGAAGACAGGAGGGGAGAGGGGAGAGGUAAGGUAGAAGACAGGAGGGGAGAGGUAAGGUAGAAGACAGGAGGGGAGAGGUAAGGUAGAAGAAAGGAGGGGAGAGGGGAGAGGUAAGGUAGAAGACAGGAGGGGAGAGGUAAGGUAGAAGACAGGAGGGGAGAGGUAAGGUAGAGGACAGGAGAGGUAAGGUAGAAGAGAGGUAAGGUAGGGGAGGGGAGAAGGUAGAGGAGGGGAGGGGAGAGGUAGAAGACAGGAGAGGGGGAGAGGUAAGGUAGAGGAGAGGGAGAGUUAAGGUAGAGGACAGGAGGGGAGAGAUGAGAGGGGAGAGGUAAGGUAGAAGACAGGUGGGGAGAGAUGAGAGGGGAGAGGUAAGGUAGAAGACAGGGGGAGAGGUAAGGUAGAGGACAGGAGAGGAGAGGUAAGGUAGAAGACAGGUGGGGAGAGAUGAGAGGGGAGAGGUAAGGUAGAAGACAGGGGGA